rnacentral:rRNA from 1 species
GGUUGUGCCCUUGAGGCGUGGCUUCCGGAGCUAACGCGUUAAGUAGACCGCCUGGGGAGUACGGCCGCAAGGUUAAAACUCAAAUGAAUUGACGGGGGCCCGCACAAGCGGUGGAGCAUGUGGUUUAAUUCGAUGCAACGCGAAGAACCUUACCUGGUCUUGACAUCCACAGAACUUUCCAGAGAUGGAUUGGUGCCUUCGGGAACUGUGAGACAGGUGCUGCAUGGCUGUCGUCAGCUCGUGUUGUGAAAUGUUGGGUUAAGUCCCGCAACGAGCGCAACCCUUAUCCUUUGUUGCCAGCGAUUAGGUCGGGAACUCAAAGGAGACUGCCAGUGAUAAACUGGAGGAAGGUGGGGAUGACGUCAAGUCAUCAUGGCCCUUACGACCAGGGCUACACACGUGCUACAAUGGCGCAUACAAAGAGAAGCGACCUCGCGAGAGCAAGCGGACCUCAUAAAGUGCGUCGUAGUCCGGAUUGGAGUCUGCAACUCGACUCCAUGAAGUCGGAAUCGCUAGUAAUCGUGGAUCAGAAUGCCACGGUGAAUACGUUCCCGGGCCUUGUACACACCGCCCGUCACACCAUGGGAGUGGGUUGCAAAAGAAGUAGGUAGCUUAACCUUCGGGAGGGCGCUUACCACUUUGUGAUUCAUGACUGGGGUGAAGUCGUAACAAGGUAACCGUAGGGGAACCUGCGGUUGGA